GACGAACGCUGGCGGCGUGCUUAACACAUGCAAGUCGAACGAUGAAGAAAAGAAUUGAAGCUUCGGCAGAAAUUCAUUUCGGAUUAGUGGCAGACGGGUGAGUAACGCGUGAGCAACCUACCUCUUACAAAGGGAUAGCCUCGGGAAACCGGGAUUAAUACCAUAUAACAUUGCGACGAAGCAUUUCGAUGCAAUCAAAGCUACGGCGGUAAGAGAUGGGCUCGCGUCCCAUUAACCAGAUGGGGAGGUAACGGCUCACCAUAGUAACGAUGGGUAACCGGGCGGGUAGGGGGAACGGUCACACUGGAACUGAGACACGGUCCAGACUCCUACGGGAGGCAGCAGUGGGGAAUAUUGCACAAUGGAGGGAACUCUGAUGCAGCGACGCCGCGUGAGUGAUGAAGGAAUUCGUUUCGUAAAACUCUGUUCUAUGGGAAGAAAAGGACUGUACCAUAGGAGAAAGCUCCGGCUAAAUACGUG
rnacentral:rRNA from 1 species